AUGAAGAAAAACUUGAAUUGGAAGUUUCUAUCCCUAGAAAACUUUAUGAUGAGUGGGAACCAACUAUUAAAAUUAAAAUUAAAGAUCAUGAAUUCUAUGCCUUAUGUGAUUUGGGUGCUAGUGUUUCCACGAUUCCAAAAGACUUUGUGUGAUUUGUUAGGUUUCCGUGGUUUUGAUGAUUGCUCUCUAAACUUGCACCUUGCGGAUUCCACUAUUAAGAAACCUAUGGGAAGAAUUAAUGAUGUUAUUAUUGUUGCAAAUAGGAAUUAUGUGCCCGUAGAUUUUAUUGUUCUUGACAUAGAUUGCAAUCCUUCAUGUCCUAUUAUUCUUGGUAGACCUUUCCUUAGAACGAUUGGUGCAAUUAUUGAUAUGAAGGAAGGAAAUAUUAGAUUGCAAUUUCCAUUAAGGAAAGGCAUGGAACACUUUCCUAGAAAGAAAAUUAAAUUACUUUAUGAAUCUAUUAUGAGAGCCACUUAUGGAUUGCCUACCAAAUAUGGCAAUACCUAG
rnacentral:rRNA from 1 species